rnacentral:rRNA from 1 species
CCUACGGGAGGCAGCAGUGAGGAAUAUUGGUCAAUGGGCGCUAGCCUGAACCAGCCAAGUAGCGUGAAGGAUGACUGCCCUAUGGGUUGUAAACUUCUUUUAUAUGGGAAUAAAGUGCAGUAUGUAUACUGCUUUGCAUGUACCUUAUGAAUAAGGAUCGGCUAACUCCGUGCCAGCAGCCGCGGUAAUACGGAGGAUCCGAGCGUUAUCUGGAUUUAUUGUGUUUAAAGCGCUCGUAGGCGGUACGUCAAGUCAAGGGUGAAAUCCCCGCGCUCAACGUGGGAACUGCCGUUGAAACUGGCAGACUGGAGUGUGUGCGAGGAUAGUGGAAUUCGAGGUGUAGGAGUGAAAUCCGUAGAUAUCUUGAGGAACUUCGGUGGCGAAGGCGACUAUCUGGCACAUAACUGACGCUGAGGAGCGAAAGCGUGGGUAGCAAACAGGAUUAGAUACCCUAGUAGUC